rnacentral:tRNA from 1 species
UGCAUCGGCCGGGAAUCGAACCCGGGCCGCCUGGGUGGCAGGCGAGCAUUCUACCACUGAACCACCGAUGG